rnacentral:lncRNA from 1 species
UGACACUGCUUUUUUUGCCAGAUGUCCCUAGACACAUCUGAAUCUCUUUUAGUCUCAAGCUGGAGCCUUUUUCACCAUUGCACAAAAAGCUGGGUAUAGUUCAAAUUCCUGACUGUAUAUUCUGAUUCCCCUGGGCAUUUACACUCUGCCAUCCCACACAGUUCCCCCUCCUGUGUGAGGGUCCUAUUGCAAUUCAUUAGCGUGCUUUUUUUUUUUUUUUUUUUUUUUUUUUUGCUUUUUGUUUUGGAGACGGAGUCUUGCUCUGUCCCUCAGGCUGGAGUGCAGCGGCGCCAUCUCAGCUGAAUGCAACCUCUGCCUCCUGGGUUCAAGAGAUUCUCCUGCCUCAGCCUCCCAAGUAGCUGGGAUUACAGGUGCGUGCCACCACGCCUGGCUAAUUUUUUGUAUUUUUAGUAGAGACAGGGUUUCACCGUGUUAGCCAGGAUGACCUUGAUCUUCUGACCUCGUGAUCCUCCCACCUCAGCCUCCCAAAGUGCUGGGAUUACAGGCGUGAGCCACAGCGCCCGGCCUUCAGCGUGCUUUUUUUUUUAAUGGUUUGCUAUAUUUACAUCUGGUUUCUCCUUCUGAAUGAGAAGGAUGGAGCAAAUGCCCCAGAUGAAGCCUACACGACAUGAGUCAGAGAACUUUGGCCAGGAUGUCUGGGGAAAAAGUUUCCUCUUUCUUCUCUGGGAACUAUCUGGAGAGGGUUGUUUUAACGCUGGAUGUGAACAGCGACUCGUGUAGCCCCAGAAGCCUCUGACAGCCGCGUUGGAAUCAUAAGUUCUCAAAAUGAAGAACGCAAAAGAUUCUUCAAAAUCAAACUGUGUCCGGAAUUGGUGGGUUCUUGGUCUCACUGACUUCAAGAAUGAAGCCACGGACCCUGGCGGUGAGUGUUACAGCUCUUAAGGUGGCGUUUCUGGAGUCUGUCCCUUCUGAUGUUCAGAUGUGUUCGGAGUUUCUUCCUUCUGGUGGGUUCGUGGUCUCGCUGGCUCAGGAGUGAAGCUGCAGAUCUUCACGGUUGCUAGUAACACAAUAAUAAAGCUGCUUUAUUUUCCAGUGAAGAUGUAUGUGAUAGGGAGUGGAGGAAGAAAAAGGCCAGAAAAUUCCAUAGUUAGCAAAUAUACCUUUCUUACUUAAAAUUCUUUUUCCAAUGUGAGCCUUCUAAAGAGUUACUGAGAAAUUAGGUGAGCUCACCUCAUUUAAUGCAAUAGAUAUGUUUCUGAAAAAUAAGCAAUACAUAGGACAUUGGCCAAUUAAGAAUUCUGAUGAAGAAGAAUUUUCACAUCCGAAAGAGUAAAAAUGAAAAACGGUACAAAUGUAGUGGCUUUUAAAUUUCAAAACAAAUUAUUUUGAUAAGAUAAAUAUUCCUCUCAUAAAGUGAAAAUGGAAGAGACUGCUUGCUGGGUGUUCGUCAAAAUGGAGUUAGAUGGUCUGUCCCAGACUCCCCUGUUGUUAGUUCUGAGAACAGAAGUAAUGGUGCUUCUUCAGGACUGGCUCAUAGAAACCUGCCGUGUUCAGCCCCCACAAUCCUCUCCCUUCUGCUGGCUGGAAACAAAUGACAACGAAGCCUCACGUCUUGGAGAAACCACACUGCUGAGGAACUCAAGUCCUAGAAGAACCAUUUGAAGAGACCCAUCUCACUAAAGAAAAUCACACAAGCAAGAAGUAAACUUCAUUGUAUCUAUGUAUUUAAUUGUCAUAACAGUCUACCUUAACUGAUACAGCAAAAAUUCGCUCCUUUUCUGGACACCCAGUUUCAAAAUCUCAGUGUCAUUUUUUACUUCUCUCUUUUCAGGUUGUUUAAUAUAAUAAAAUUUGUGUGUGUGUGUGUGUGUGUGUGACAAGGUCUUGCUCUGUUGCCCAGGCUGGAGUGCAAUGGCACGCUCCCAGCCCACUACAGCCUUGACCUCCAAGCUCAAGUGUUCCUCCCACCUCAGCCUCCAGAGUAACUGGGACUACAGGCAUGGGCCACCACACCCGGCUAAUUUUUGUACUUUUUGUAGAGACAGG